rnacentral:rRNA from 1 species
AUUGAACGCUGGCGGCAUGCUUUACACAUGCAAGUCGAACGAGUGGCGAACGGGUGAGUAAUAUAUCGGAACGUACCGAGUAAUGGGGGAUAACCAAUCGAAAGAUUGGCUAAUACCGCAUAUUAUUCGAGCGGCAGAUAACUGAUUAGCUAGUUGGUGGGGUAAAGGCCUACAAAGGCGACGAUCAGUAGCGGGUCUGAGCGUACGAUCCGCCACACUGGUACUGAGACACGGCCCAGACUCCGACGGGCGGCAGCAGUGGGGAAUAGUCCACAAUGGGCGCAAGCCUGAUGCAGCCAUGCCGCGUGUAUGAAGAAGGCCGUCGGGUUGUAAAGUACUUUCAGCGGGGAGGCGUUACCCGCAGAAGAAGCACCGGCUAACUCCGUGCCAGCAGCCGCGGUAAUAC